rnacentral:rRNA from 1 species
UACGUAGGGGGCUAGCGUUGUCCGGAAUCAUUGGGCGUAAAGCGCGUGUAGGCGGUCCGGUAAGUCCGCUGUGAAAGUCGGGGGCUCAACCCUCGAAUGCCGGUGGAUACUGUCGGGCUAGAGUGCGGAAGAGGCGAGUGGAAUUCCUGGUGUAGCGGUGAAAUGCGCAGAUAUCAGGAGGAACACCAAUUGCGAAGGCAGCUCGCUGGGACGUUACUGACGCUGAGGAGCGAAAGCAUGGGGAGCGAACAGG